ACCCUUUUGUAGUUCAUAAGCAUGAUGAUUCGGUUUUCAUACUCGUGUGUGAGAUGUGCCUCCCUAAAACCUUGUUAAAAGUCAGCACAUUACCCAUGUGGAA
ensembl:snoRNA